GACAUAGGUGGCAAACGUUAUCCGGAAUUAUUGGGCGUAAAGGGUGCGUAGAUGGUAUGAUAAGUUAGCGGUGGGAAAUCGGGGCUCAACCCCGUGGAAGCUGAUAAUACUAUCGUGCUAGAGUGUAGGAGAGGUUAACGGAACUCCCCGUGGAGCGGUGAAAUGCAUAGAUAUGGGGAAGAACACCAAUAAUAGCGAAGGCAGUUAACUAUUCUACUACUGACAUUGAGGCACGAAAGCGUGGGGAGCAAAAAGG
rnacentral:rRNA from 1 species